UGCAAUAUUUCAGAUCAAUAAGAUUGACUGCUAUGUUGUCGUUCAGGAAGGGGAAAAAAAAAUCCCUCUUCACACCGUAAUCUUUCCGAUUAGAGCCGCAGCAAAGCAAGACAGUCCAUACACCACCAUAAAAAUAUUAGUAUGUCCCAAGCAACCACCUCGUCAAAAACAAUUACAGAAAACGUCGUCGCCCAUCGACGACCGCAGGGAACGUCGAAGCACAACCCAGGCUGCCUGGAACCUGCCGACGAGGCACACCCUGCCACCUCGAGCCAUUCCCUUAAGCCAACGUCGGAAUCUUCUUCCUCUUCGCGUUGGUCCCUCGGUUUGACAGUUCUCUCUUUCUAAACUUUUUUUCCGUGUCUCACCGUCACUUUCAGAGGAGUCUUCUAUUCUCCGCCGCCGGAGUCCACUCACCUCCACCACCGCACCUCACCUUCUCUCUCAUCCCAAAUCUCCCCGUUGCACCAUCCUCUAAUUCCCUGGUAAGCCUCUGCUUGUUUAUAUUGUCUUCUUUUGAGCCUGGAAAAAUAUAGUUACAAACAUAGUUGUGUACUAAUCUGUGCACCAAUGUGAUAUGAUUGGUCAAAAAGUAAAUUUUAUUGAAAACAGUGUUAAUUUAAAUUUUAAGUAUGAAUAAAUCAGUAUUGGUACAUAGAUUAGUACGCAACUAUACUUGUAUGUAGCAAAACUCUUUAAGCCUUCCCCAAAAAAGUACAUGCUUAUUUUUUGAUAUUACAUAAACAAUAUCCUCCAACCCACCCACUGCUCAAUGAGUGCUCAUGGCCUUUCCGUAAAAUCCCUCUUGAAGGAACUUUUUGUUUAAUUACAUUUCUGCCCUUGCUUAAGUGCCCGUGACAGAUUUUGUGUUAUAACUUUGUUCAGUACGUGGGCUGAUUUCUCAUGUAAAAGCCCGUUAUCCUUUAUAUGAACUUAAUUUAAUUGAAUAAAUAUAUUACCUAUAAGUAUUAAAUUAUAAUUAAAAUUAUUUUAAUAAUUAUAUCACAUUAGUAAUUAUUGAAUUCAGUAUAUACAUAGCUUAAUAUUUUACUAGAUUAAAGUUUAUGAUAUGUGUUCGAUUGGGUAGAAUGCUACGACACAUUUUUAAAAUAAUUUAUUAACAUUUAAUAUCUCGUAUAGGUAACGAACUACGUAGUAGAAUCCAAUAAUUAGCAGUGAUAAGAAGUAAGUAGCAUGCUCAUAAUUUUAUGUAUUGUAAAUAUUUUAUUUUUGCAUGACAAAUGUGAGGUCUAAUUAUUAUGGUAGAUCAUAAAAUGAGGAUGAGGAUGAGGAAGUCUCUAAAGAGGUUGAUGAUUCGAUGUGUUGUUGUCUUGUUUCUUGUUGUUGGGAAGGGAGUCCAUUGAAAUAUUUUAUGUACUAUAGAAAUCACUUUUGAUGGCAUAUUCCAUUAUUUCUUGCAAAUUGAGGCACAUGGUGGACAAGUCCUGACUUUUUCAGGAGAAAUGUUUCCAAACAAGCCGAGGUUGAAUCAAUGGUUGAAAUUGAAUUACUUUUGGUACUUUAUUAAAGAGGAUGAAGAAAUCUUAGUGGCAGGAGGUUCUUGAUUUGAAUCUCACAGGGGUAUAUCUCUAUUAUCUUUUGCAUAUUUCUUAUUUCUUUAACUCGAUAUUUCCUUUUUUUUUUUAACAUGACCCUUCUUGCUAAACGAGGGAUAUGGUAAGCAAGAGUUUAUCUCAAGCAGGGUUGUCAAAAAAUAGUGUGGGAUGGGAAGACAAUCAAUAUUUGACAUGAUCCAUGGGUUCCAAGUUAUAGAAAUUUGCAUCUUGAUCCUAUUGUGGAGUUGCAGAGUGAAUUACUAGAAACAGUGGAUUCUCUCAUCAAUUUGGAAACAAUAUGGUGGGAUAUUAAUAAAGUAAGGGCUCUCUUCAAUUCAAGGAUAGCUUGAAAAAUUUUGAAGAUUAUCAUAUGUCCAAUGGGUUAGGAAGAUUAGUGAAUCUGGUUUGCAAAAAGAAGUGGUGAAUUCAGUGUUAGGAGUGCAUACAAAAUGAUUCAAAAUAGCAGGGAUAACUUAGUAGGGGAGAGUUCUACAAGCAGUAAACUUAAUAAGCUAUGGAAAGCAAUUUGGAAGAUGAAGCUACCAACUUGUUUAAAUUUGCUUCAGAAACAUGUGGAUAUUGAUCCAAAGUGCAAUUUGUGUACUCAGCAGAAUGAAGAUUUGGCACACGCUAUUGUGUACUGUUUUGAGUUGACUGAAAUAUGGAAGUGCUAUCUGGCUGCUCUGUUUGAUAUUCCAAGGCACUCUUUGUUAUAGAUCUGAUACAACAUUUGCAUAAUAAUUGUCCUGCAGAGAACUGUCGCAAAGUUUUAUCUCAGCAUAGAGGAAUAAAUCAGAUCAAGUAAUUAUGCAACUGGAGACCUCCACCAGUGGGUUUUCUCAAACUUAAUGUCGAUGGGGCUUUAUUUUUUGAUCAUAUGAAAGUUGGAAUUGGAGUUAUCGUACGGGAUAAGAGGGGAGAUGUCAUUCUUGCAGCAAGUAAGGUGGAACAUUAUAUUGAAGAUCCAGAAACGAUAGAAGUAGUGGCAAUGCUAAGAGGUUUAUAGUUGUGCCUUCAACAACUAUUAUUAGAGUCAAAUUGCAAGCUAUUAGUUGAUGAGUUACAAUACGAACUAGCUGUUUCUUCUUCAAGAUUAGGAAAUUUGGUUAUGGGGGUUAAAAGACUGAUGUCUUAUUUUGAUGUUUGUUCUUGUCAAUUCGUUAAUCGCAUGGGUAAUAGAGUUGCUCACAAACUUGCUAGACUAGUUUGGAAUGUUGAGGAUUUAGUUGUAUGGGGGGAUUAUGUACCUAAUCCUAUCCCCCAAGUUAUUUGGGCCGAUAAGAAUCUUUUGUAAUCC